rnacentral:rRNA from 1 species
GCAUAUCAAUAAGCGGAGGAAAAGAAACCAACAGGGAUUGCCCUAGUAACGGCGAGUGAAGCGGCAACAGCUCAAAUUUGAAAGCUGGCUCCGGCCCGCAUUGUAAUUUGCAGAGGAUGCUUUUGGCGAGGUGCCUUCCGAGUUCCCUGGAACGGGACGCCAUAGAGGGUGAGAGCCCCGUAUGGAUGGACACCAAACCUGUGUAAAGCUCCUUCAACGAGUCGAGUAGUUUGGGAAUGCUGCUCUAAAUGGGAGGUAAAUCUCUUCUAAAGCUAAAUACCGGCCAGAGACCGAUAGCGCACAAGUAGAGUGAUCGAAAGAUGAAAAGCACCUUGAAAAGGGGGUUAAACAGUACGUGAAAUUGUUGAAAGGGAAGCGCUUGUGACCAGACUUGCGCCGGGCAGCUCAUCAGGGGUUCUCCCCUGUGCACUCUGCCCGGCUCAGGCCAGCAUCGGUUCUCGUGGGAGGAUAAGAACAGUGGGAACGUGGCCCCCUCUCGGGGGGGUGUUAUAGCCCAUUGUACGAUACUCUCGUGGGGACCGAGGUUCGCGCUCCGCAAGGAUGCUGGCGUAAUGGUCAUCAGCGACCCGUCUUGAAACACGGACCAAGGAGUCGUCCAUUAGAGCGAGCGUUUGGGUGUAAAACCCGCACGCGUAAUGAAAGUGAACGCAGGUGAGAGCUUCGGCGCAUCAUCGACCGAUCCUGAUGUCUUCGGAUGGAUUUGAGUAAGAGUUUUAACGGACGGACCCGAAAGACAGUGAACUAUGCUUGUAUAGGGUGAAGCCAGAGGAAACUCUGGUGGAGGCUCGCAGCGGUUCUGACGUGCAAAUCGAUCGUCAAAUAUGAGCAUGGGGGCGAAAGACUAAACGAACUGUCUAGUAGCUGGUUACCGCCGA